GAUUCUGGCUCAGGAUGAACGCUAGCUACAGGCUUAACACAUGCAAGUCGAGGGGCAGCAUGGAGUUUGCUUGCAAACUCUGAUGGCGACCGGCGCACGGGUGAGUAACGCGUAUCCAACCUUCCCUAUAGUAGAGGAUAGCCCGGCGAAAGUCGGAUUAAUACUCUAUGUUUUCCGUUGCAGACAUCUAAGAUGGAACAAAGGCUUGCCGCUAUAGGAUGGGGAUGCGUCUGAUUAGGUAGUCGGCGGGGUAACGGCCCACCGAGCCAUCGAUCAGUAGGGGUUCUGAGAGGAAGGUCCCCCACAUUGGAACUGAGACACGGUCCAAACUCCUACGGGAGGCAGCAGUGAGGAAUAUUGGUCAAUGGGCGUAAGCCUGAACCAGCCAAGUAGCGUGCAAGGAUGACGGCCCUACGGGUUGUAAACUGCUUUUAUGCGGGGAUAAAGUGCGGCACGUGUGCCGCUUUGCAGGUACCGCAUGAAUAAGGACCGGCUAAUUCCGUGCCAGCCGCCGC
rnacentral:rRNA from 1 species